AUUUGAAUUUAAAUUAUGUUGUUUCUUGGUGUCACUUUUGCAGAAGAGUUUUUGCAGACUUUACGGGUGUCUAAUCCAAAGGGAACGUCUUUUGGGACUUCUUCAAGUUCCAGGAGGGAUUAUGAUUGGUUCGAGACUGCAGUCAUAAGCUUCUUCAAGCUUUUUGGUGAAAACUAUGAUUAUGAACUGUUAACGAAGCGUGAAGAAUGCGAGCGUCUUGUGGGGCUCUACAAAGUGUGCAAGACCAAUAAAUUGAGCCAUUGUGAUGUGUAUUUGGAACAGAGGCCUGAAGGUUGUCCCGACUUCAACAAGGAAGAGUUUUUGCAGACUUUACGAGCUCCUAAACCGAAGAGUCAUGGAACGUCUUUUGGGACUUCUUCAAGUUCCAGGAGGGAUUAUGAUUGGUUCGAGACUGCAGUCAUAAGCUUCUUCAAGCUUUUUGGUGAAAACUAUGAUUAUGAACUGUUAACGAAGCGUGAAGAAUGCGAGCGUCUUGUGGGGCUCUACAAAGUGUGCAAGACCAAUAAAUUGAGCCAUUGUGAUGUGUAUUUGGAACAGAGGCCUGAAGGUUGUCCCGACUUCAACAAGGCCUUUGAUUGGAAUGGCAUUGUGGUUGGGUGAACCAUUUUGGAUUGGUCAUCCUGAACCCACAUCAUCUCCUCCGUUCAUUGUUCUUGAGAUUUUUUUGAAUAUUUUGGCGUUCAAGGAAGGAUUGCCUAUUCUUCUCUUCUCAAUAUUGGAGUCUAUAAUUGGGGGGCUUAUGGGCAAGCUUCGGAUGUGAACACUGAAACAUUUUUUGGGGUUGGAAUGGAAACUUCACCUUAUCUCUUGUUUGUUAAGAAAGAGUUUUUGCAGACUUUACGGGCAUCUAAUCAGAAGUGUAAUGGUAAAAUUGAGGAGCAACUUGGGGACCAGUCACGUUGAUUACAAGAACUCUUUGAUUGAUAUUAGUUAUUUAGUAGUUUUGGAAUACUAUCUGGCAUAGUUCAUGUAGUUGUCAACUAAUGUAGCUGAAAACUUUAUGGUUGUGAAUAACUAAUUAUAAUUAUAAACCGUUCCCAACUAAUUAUUUUGCUGUGUAAUUAUUUUAAAUGUUUUAUGACAUACUUUCAUAAAAAAGUGUAAAUAAUUAUUUAAUGUUUGUUAUCAAGUGUUUUUGGUUAUUUGUUACCA